UACGUAGGGGGCGAGCGUUGUCCGGAAUUAUUGGGCGUAAAGAGCGUGUAGGCGGUUCGGUAAGUCUGCCGUGAAAACCUGGGGCUCAACCCCGGGCGUGCGGUGGAUACUGCCGGGCUAGAGGGUGGUAGAGGCGAGUGGAAUUCCCGGUGUAGCGGUGAAAUGCGCAGAUAUCAGGAGGAACACCGGUGGCGAAGGCGGAUCUCUGGGCCUUACCUGACGCUGAGGCGCGAAAGCUAGGGGAGCGAACAGG
rnacentral:rRNA from 1 species